rnacentral:rRNA from 1 species
AGUGAACGCUGGCGGCAGGCCUAAUACAUGCAAGUCGAACGGCAGCACAGUGGAGCUUGCUCCAUGGGUGGCGAGUGGCGGACGGGUGAGGAAUACAUGGGAAUCUGCCCAGUCGUGGGGAUAACGUAUGGAAACGUACGCUAAUACCGCAUGCGCCCUUCGGGGGAAAGUCGGGGACCGCAAGGCCUGACGCGAUUGGAUGAGCCCAUGUUCGAUUAGCUAGUUGGCGGGUAACGGCCCACCAAGGCGACGAUCGAUAGCUGGUCUGAGAGGAUGAUCAGCCACACUGGAACUGAGACACGGUCCAGACUCCUACGGGAGCAGCAGUAGGGAAUAUUGGACAAUGGGGGCAACCCUGAUCCAGCCAUGCCGCGUGAGUGAAGAAGGCCCUCGGUUGUAAAGCUACUUUGUUGGGGAAGAAAAGCAGUUGGUUAAUACCCGAUUG